GACAGAGGAUGCAAGCGUUAUCCGGAAUGAUUGGGCGUAAAGCGUCUGUAGGUGGCUUUUUAAGUCCGCCGUCAAAUCCCAGGGCUCAACCCUGGACAGGCGGUGGAAACUACCAAGCUGGAGUAACGGUGAGGGGCAGAGGGAAUUUCCGGUGGAGCGGUGGAAAUGCGUAGAGAUCGGAAAGAACACCAACGGCGAAAGCACUCUGCUGGGCCGAACACUGACACUGAGAGACGAAAGCUAGGGGAGCGAAUGGG
rnacentral:rRNA from 1 species